rnacentral:rRNA from 1 species
AUUGAACGCUGGCGGCAUGCCUUACACAUGCAAGUCGAACGGCAGCACGGGUUCUUGCACCUGGUGGCGAGUGGCGAACGGGUGAGUAAUACAUCGGAACAUGUCCUGUAGUGGGGGAUAGCCCGGCGAAAGCCGGAUUAAUACCGCAUACGAACUACGGAUGAAAGCGGGGGACCUUCGGGCCUCGCGCUAUAGGGUUGGCCGAUGGCUGAUUAGCUAGUUGGUGGGGUAAAGGCCUACCAAGGCGACGAUCAGUAGCUGGUCUGAGAGGACGACCAGCCACACUGGGACUGGGCCACGGCCCAGACUCCUACGGGAGGCAGCAGUGGGGAAUUUUGGACAAGGGGCGAAAGCCUGAUCCAGCAAUGCCGCGUGUGUGAAGAAGGCCUUCGGGUUGUAAAGCACUUUUGUCCGGAAAGAAAUCCUUGGCCCUAAUACGGUCGGGGGAUGACGGUACCGGAAGAAUAAGCACCGGCUAACUACGUG